rnacentral:rRNA from 1 species
UACGGAGGGUGCAAACGUUGCUCGGAAUCAUUGGGCGUAAAGCGCACGUAGGCGGCCCAGCAAGUCGGUUGUGAAAGCCCUCGGCUUAACCGAGGAAGUGCAUUCGAAACUACUGAGCUUGAAUACUGGAGAGGAUCGCGGAAUUCCCGGUGUAGAGGUGAAAUUCGUAGAUAUCGGGAGGAACACCAGUGGCGAAGGCGGCGAUCUGGACAGAUAUUGACGCUGAGGUGCGAAAGCGUGGGGAGCAAACAGG